rnacentral:rRNA from 1 species
AUACGUAGGUGACAAGCGUUAUCCGGAUUUACUGGGCGUAAAGGGCGUGUAGGCGGUCUUGCAAGUCAGAAGUGAAAUUCCUGAGCUCAACUCGGGCGCUGCUUCUGAAACUGCAGGACUUGAGUGCUGGAGGGGAUAGCGGAAUUCCUAGUGGAGCGGUAAAAUGCGCAGAUAUUAGGAAGAACACCGGUGGCGAAGGCGGCUAUCUGGACAGUAACUGAAGCUGAGGCGCGAAAGCGUGGGGAGAAAACAGGAUUAGAUACCCGGGUAGUCCACGCCGUAAACAAUGAAUACUAGGUGUAGGGGGUAUCGACUCCCUCUGUGCCGCAGUUAACACAAUAAGUAUUCCGCCUGGGGAGUACGGCCGCAAGGUUGAAACUCAAAUGAAUUGACGGGG